CACAGUCGCUCCAAUGGAUUUUCAACCGUCUGUGCCAGGAACAUCAAAUUCUAAUUUUUCGAAGUCAGAAAUAUCAAAGUCUCAAAUUUUAGUGCAAUCAUCUUCAAAUUCUCAAACCUCCAAGCCAGAACUUUCAAGUUCCCAAUUGUCGAAGCCAAGAAUCUCAAAUUACCAAAUUUUUAAACCAGGAACAUUAACAUCUGAAGUGACAGUGACAAAAUUUUUAAAAGAGCAGAACACAAUUCUUAUGAAGCAAAAUAAAAUAAUUGCUAAUAAUCAAAAGCAUAUUUUACUCUAAUUAGCAAAACAUGAAAAAAGUAAUGAAGAGAAAGAAUUGUCUAAUAAUCUUUUUCAACCUGCUGAUGGUUUUCCGUUGAAUAGCAUAGAAGAGUUUCUGGAAUUCGAGUCAGAAAGCGAAGAAAAACGCGCAAAACUUGUGCAUAAGUCAUUCACAAAAUCAAAAUUGGAAAAAUUCAUAAGCGAACAAUUUGUCCACUUAUCAAAGUAAAUACUUCUGUUUAACUUUUAUUAAAUCAUUCUCAAAUAUGAUUGAACUUUUGUUUCAUCACAAGCAGCUACUAACUAUAGGAGGA